UGGGGAAUAUUGCACAAUGGGCGAAAGCCUGAUGCAGCAACGCCGCGUGAGUGAUGAAGGUCUUCGGAUUGUAAAGCUCUGUCUUUUGGGACGAUAAUGACGGUACCAAAGGAGGAAGCCACGGCUAACUACGUGCCAGCAGCCGCGGUAAUACGUAGGUGGCGAGCGUUGUCCGGAUUUACUGGGCGUAAAGGGUGCGUAGGCGGAUGUUUAAGUGAGAUGUGAAAUACCCGGGCUUAACUUGGGUGCUGCAUUUCAAACUGGAUAUCUAGAGUGCAGGAGAGGAGAAUGGAAUUCCUAGUGUAGCGGUGAAAUGCGUAGAGAUUAGGAAGAACACCAGUGGCGAAGGCGAUUCUCUGGACUGUAACUGACGCUGAGGCACGAAAGCGUGGGUAGCAAACAGGAUUAGAUACCCUGGUAGUCCACGCCGUAAACGAUGAGUACUAGGUGUAGGAGGUAUCGACCCCUUCUGUGCCGCAGUAAACACAUUAAAGUACU
rnacentral:rRNA from 1 species